UGCUGCACGCGAUUAAAUAUAAUCUGUUCACUUGGCUUUCCAUAGUCAGAAACAAUGGCGCUCCUUUUGAGCGAACUAUCCUAUUUUCUCAAGCCACAAGUUUCGUAAAGUUUCUUAAAGUAUGGUUAUUAUAUCAUGUUUAAACUGGUUCUUGAAGGUUUAGGAUCGAGGUCUACUGCCUGAUGAUUUCGUUUAUAGGAGACAAGCGACAGAGAUUCAUGGGUUACAAUCCGAUUACGUCAGAUAGAUAGCUUGGAAGUGCACAAGUCUGUAAGUUCAUUUUGUUGAAUAGA